rnacentral:rRNA from 1 species
CAGUCGCCGCGGUAAUGCGGAGGGUGCAAGCGUUAAUCGGAAUUACUGGGCGUAAAGCGCACGCAGGCGGUUUGUUAAGUCAGAUGUGAAAUCCCCGAGCUUAACUUGGGAACUGCAUUUGAAACUGGCAAGCUAGAGUCUUGUAGAGGGGGGUAGAAUUCCAGGUGUAGCGGUGAAAUGCGUAGAGAUCUGGAGGAAUACCGGUGGCGAAGGCGGCCCCCUGGACAAAGACUGACGCUCAGGUGCGAAAGCGUGGGGAGCAAACAGGAUUAGAUACCCGAGUAGUCCCUGUCUCUUAUAC